CCCUUUGGGUGUGACUGCGUACCUUUUGUAUAAUGGGUCAGCGACUUAUAUUCUGUAGCAAGGUUAACCGAAUAGGGGAGCCGGAGGGAAACCGAGUCUUAACCGGGCGUUAAGUUGCAGGGUAUAGACCCGAAACCCGGUGAUCUAGCCAUGGGCAGGUUGAAGGUUGGGUAACACUAACUGGAGGACCGAACCGACUAAUGUUGAAAAAUUAGCGGAUGACCUGUGGCUGGGGGUGAAAGGCCAAUCAAACCGGGAGAUAGCUGGUUCUCCCCGAAAGCUAUUUAGGUAGCGCCUCGUGAAUUCAUCUCCGGGGGUAGAGCACUGUUUCGGCUAGGGGGCCAUCCCGGCUUACCAACCCGAUGCAAACUGCGAAUACCGGAGAAUGUUAUCACGGGAGACACACGGCGGGUGCUAACGUCCGUCGUGAAGAGGGAAACAACCCAGACCGCCAGCUAAGGUCCCAAAGUCAUGGUUAAGUGGGAAACGAUGUGGGAAGGCCCAGACAGCCAGGAUGUUGGCUUAGAAGCAGCCAUCAUUUAAAGAAAGCGUAAUAGCUCACUGGUCGAGUCGGCCUGCGCGGAAGAUGUAACGGGGCUAAACCAUGCACCGAAGCUGCGGCAGCGACACUGUGUGUUGUU
rnacentral:rRNA from 1 species